CUUUUAUAAUGUGGGAAUGUAGUCUGAAAAACUCAGAAAUUGUGUGUUGUCAUCAGCUUCUUCUCGCCAAAUUAGGAGGUUGGAGUUAAAUAACAGCACUAAAUUC